rnacentral:tRNA from 1 species
CCUUCGAUAGCUCAGUUGGUAGAGCGGAGGACUGUAGCAGAUGGAAAAUAGCAAUCCUUAGGUCGCUGGUUCGAUUCCGGCUCGAAGGA